rnacentral:rRNA from 1 species
GGCGAACCGUCCCAAACGUUAUUCGGAAUCACUGGGCUUAAAGGGUGCGUAGGCGGCGCGGAAAGUUGGGUGUGAAAUCCCUCGGCUCAACCGAGGAAUUGCGCCCAAAACUUCCGUGCUCGAGGAAGAUAGAGGUGAGCGGAACUUAGGGUGGAGCGGUGAAAUGCGUUGAUAUCCUAAGGAACACCGGUGGCGAAAGCGGCUCACUGGAUCUUUUCUGACGCUGAGGCACGAAAGCUAGGGUAGCGAACGGGAUUAGAAACCCUGGUAGU